rnacentral:rRNA from 1 species
AUUGAACGCUGGCGGAAUGCUUUACACAUGCAAGUCGAACGGCAGCACGGACUUCGGUCUGGUGGCGAGUGGCGAACGGGUGAGUAAUGUAUCGGAACGUGCCCAGUCGUGGGGGAUAACGUAGUGAAAAUUACGCUAAUACCGCAUACGAUCUAUGGAUGAAAGCGGGGAUCGCAAGACCUCGCGCGAUUGGAGCGGCCGAUAUCAGAUUAGGUAGUUGGCGGGGUAAAGGCCCACCAAGCCAACGAUCUGUAGCUGGUCUGAGAGGACGACCAGCCACACUGGAAAUGAGACACGGUCCAGACUCCUACGGGAGGCAGCAGUGGGGAAUUUUGGACAAUGGGCGAAAGCCUGAUCCAGCCAUUCCGCGUGCAGGAUGAAGGCCCUCGGGUUGUAAACUGCUUUUGUACAGAACGAAAAGGUUUCUACUAAUACUAGGAGCUCAUGACGGUACUGUAAGAAUAAGCACCGGCUAACUACGUGCCAGCAGCCGCCGUAA